UACGAAGGGGGCUAGCGUUGCUCGGAAUCACUGGGCGUAAAGGGUGCGUAGGCGGGUCUUUAAGUCAGGGGUGAAAUCCUGGAGCUCAACUCCAGAACUGCCUUUGAUACUGAGGAUCUUGAGUCCGGGAGAGGUGAGUGGAACUGCGAGUGUAGAGGUGAAAUUCGUAGAUAUUGGGAGGAACACCGGUGGCGAAGGCGGCCAUCUGGGAGGGCACUGACGCUGAGACGCGAAAGCGUGGGGAGCAAACAGG
rnacentral:rRNA from 1 species